GGGCGUCUGCGUGUGGGGAUCUGUAAUAGCAAAUGAUGUCUUUGUUGCCCAUAGCAAACUGCUCUGGUAAAAUGAAGGCUACGUUCUGAUUGGCUGAUACGGGCGCGUUGACAUUUUUGUCACAAUCAAGGACUUACAUUUAUUUGCAAGAAAAUUGAUUUUCAAGAAACUUUUUCAUCAUAACACGUCUGCUUCCAUUUGCACUACAAGGGAGGAUAUUACCACUCUACAGGCUUUGGAGGAUCUGCAUAUCGAGAGCAAUCCUCGUGAUAAUGAUUGGUUUCCACCAACAUUGAUCCCCAAGUCAGAUACGACUGACGCCCUUAGACGUCUAGAGGGACUUCAUCUGGAUCCUGACAUGUUGAUUGUAACCUGUGAUGUUGAAUCUCUUUACACAUCGAUUCGCCACGAGGACGGCAUUCGAGCUGUUAGAUCUUCCUUUCUGAUGUCGAAUUUCACUGGAGAUAUUGGUGAGUUUAUUACUAAUCUACUAUCUUUUGCUCUUACCCA